AAAAACCUUGAAUUUCCUUAUAUGAAAUUUUUUUAUAAUUAGUAUUUUCAUUGUUGUUAGAUGAUAAAACAUAAUUAAUAUUUUAUGCGUGAUUUAUCUUUUUAUUUUUUUCAUAUUUUUUUAAAUAAGACGGACGGUCAAACGUUAGACACAGAAACCCAGGG
rnacentral:pre_miRNA from 1 species